rnacentral:tmRNA from 1 species
GGGAGCGACUUGGAUUCGACAGGAGUAAGUCUGCUUAGAUGGCAUGUCGCUUUGGGCAAAGCGUAAAAAGCCCAAAUAAAAUUAAACGCAAACAACGUUAAAUUCGCUCCUGCUUACGCUAAAGCUGCGUAAGUUCAGUUGAGCCUGAAAUUUAAGUCAUACUAUCUAGCUUAAUUUUCGGUCAUUUUUGAUAGUGUAGCCUUGCGUUUGACAAGCGUUGAGGUGAAAUAAAGUCUUAGCCUUGCUUUUGAGUUUUGGAAGAUGAGCGAAGUAGGGUGAAGUAGUCAUCUUUGCUAAGCAUGUAGAGGUCUUUGUGGGAUUAUUUUUGGACAGGGGUUCGAUUCCCCUCGCUUCCACCA